rnacentral:rRNA from 1 species
AGCAGCCGCGGUAAUUCCAGCUCCAAUAGCGUAUAUUAAAGUUGUUGCAGUUAAAAAGCUCGUAGUUGAAUUUCGGGAUUGGCGCAUCGGUCGUGCCUCACGGGGUAUGAACUGGUGCAGUCAAUUUCUCACCUUCUGGAGAACCGCGAUGUCCUUAAUUGGAUGCCGCGGGGAACCAGGACCUUUACUUUGAAAAAUUAGAGUGUUUAAAGCAGGCAUUUUUGCUUGAAUACAUUAGCAUGGAAUAAUAAAAUAGGACGGCAUGGUUCUAUUUUGUUGGUUUCUAGGACCACCGUAAUGAUUAAUAGGGAUAGUUGGGGGCAUUAGUAUUCAAUUGUCAGAGGUGAAAUUCUUGGAUUUAUUGAAGUACUAACUACUGCGAAAGCAUUUGCCAAGGAUGUUUUCAUUAAUCAAGAACGAAAGUUAGGGGAUCGAAGACGAUCAGAUACCGUCGUAGUCUUAACCAUAAACUAUGACCGACUAGGAAUCAGACGAUGUUAAUUUUUAAUGUACUCGUUUG